rnacentral:tRNA from 1 species
UCCCGUAUAGCUCAGUUGGUGGAGCAUGGCACUUGCAAUGCCAGGGUUGUGGGUUCGAUACCCAUGGGGGAC